GUUUAACGGCCGCGGUAUCCUAACCGUGCAAAGGUAGCGCAAUCAAUUGUCCCAUAAAUCGAGACCAGUAUGAAUGGCUAAACGAGGUCUUAACUGUCUCUUGCAGGCAAUCGGUGAAAUUGAUCUCCCUGUGCAAAAGCAGGGAUAAACCCAUAAGACGAGAAGACCCUGUGGAACUUUAAAAACAGCAGCCACCCCAAAUAACAUAACCCCCCACUGGGCUCACUUACACAUAAGCCACUGGCCUGCAUUUUUUCGGUUGGGGCGACCUUGGAGAAAAACAAAUCCUCCAAAAAUUAGACCAUACCUCUAGACCAAGAGCAACCUCUCAACGUGCGAAUAGCACCCAGACCCAAUAUAAUUGAUCAAUGGACCAAGCUACCCCAGGGAUAACAGCGCAAUCUCCUUUAAGAGUCCAUAUCGACAAGGAGGUUUACGACCUCGAUGUUGGAUCAGGACAUCCUAGUGGUGCAGAAGCUACUAAGGGUUCGUUUGUUCAACGAUUAACAGUCCU
rnacentral:rRNA from 1 species